rfam:Sclerotinia sclerotiorum 1980 scaffold_3 genomic scaffold, whole genome shotgun sequence.
UCUUUGAUGGUCUAGUGGUCAUGAUUUCCGCUUGUCAUUCAACUUGUUGAACGCGGGAGACCGGGGUUCGAUUCCCCGUCAGAGAG